GUCGAAAAUGGCGGCGGCGUCUGUGUCUCGGCUGUCUGGGCUGCUAGGUCGGUCCGGGGCACAGCUGGGGCGUUCCAUGUCGAGUGGCGCCCACGGCAAGGAGGGCUCAGCUCGCAUGUGGAAGGCUCUCACCUACUUCAUAGCGCUCCCUGGCGUGGGUGUGAGCAUGCUGAAUGUCUUCCUGAAGUCGCGUCACAGAGAGCACGAGAGACCCGAGUUCGUCGCCUACCCCCAUCUCCGCAUCAGGUCCAAGCCCUUUCCCUGGGGAGAUGGUAAUCAUACUCUAUUCCAUAACUCUCACGUGAAUCCACUUCCAACCGGCUAUGAAGACGAAUAGAGAGAACCUGGACCACCACCCAGUGGGGACCACAGCACUGGUUUGGACCAUGACUCUGCACACAGACCAAGAAGUCUAUGGGACCUUAAGCUCACCUUCCUUACUUGUAUCAAAUGAUGACCAGUAUACUGAUCUUCCAUCCCUUUGCUUAUGGCAGGAGAUGGCUUAAAUAAAUAACUUAGAUUGGUCCAAAA